rnacentral:rRNA from 1 species
AUUGAACGCUGGCGGCAGGCCUAACACAUGCAAGUCGAACGGACGCAGGGAGCUUGUUGCUGGUUUCCGCAGGGGAGGCGUACGGAAUGGUAAGGAAUGUGCCUGGGAGUGGGGGAUGACGUCAGGUAAUGGACGCUAAUGCUGCUUACGUAUAGCGUCAGAAAAUGAGGGAGCUUCAGACCCCACCCUAUCAGCUGCGCCUAGGUCGGAGUAGCUAGUUGGUGGGGUAAAGGUCUACCAAGGCGACGAUCCGUAACUGGUCUGAGAGGAUGAUCAGUCACACUGGAACUGAGACACGGUCCAGACUCCUACGGGAGGCAGCAGUGGGGAAUAUUGGACAAUGGGCGAAAGCCUGAUCCAGCCAUGCCGCGUGUAUGAAGAAGGUCUUCGGAUUGUAAAGCACUUUAAGCUGGGAGGAAGGGCAGUAAGUUAAUACCUUGAUGUAUUGACGUUACCAACAGAAUAAGCACCGGCUAACUUCGUG